rnacentral:rRNA from 1 species
GACGAACGCUGGCGGCGUGCUUAACACAUGCAAGUCGAACGGAAAGGCCUCUUUCGGGGGGUACUCGAGUGGCGAACGGGUGAGUAACACGUGAGUAACCUGCCCUUGACUUUGGGAUAACUUCAGGAAACUGGGGCUAAUACCGGAUAGGAGCUCCUGCUGCAUGGUGGGGGUUGGAAAGUUUCGGCGGUUGGGGAUGGACUCGCGGCGUAUCAGCUUGUUGGGGGGGUAGUGGCUUACCAAGGCUUUGACGGGUAGCCGGCCAGAGAGGGUGACCGGCGACAUUGGGACUGAGAGACGGCCCAGACGCCUACGGGAGGCAGCAGUGGGGAAGAUUGCACAAGGGGUGGAGGCCUGAUGCAGCAACGCCGUGGGCGGUAUGACGGCCUUCGGGUGGUAAACCGCUUUCGCUCAUGACGAAGCUUUGUGUGACGGUAGUGGGUAAAGAAGCACCGGCUAACUACGUG